GAUGAACGCUGACAGAAUGCUUAACACAUGCAAGUCAACUUGAAUUUGGGUUUUUAACUUAAGUUUGGGUGGCGGACGGGUGAGUAACGCGUAAAGAACUUGCCUCACAGCUAGGGACAACAUUUGGAAACGAAUGCUAAUACCUAAUAUUAUGAUAAUAGGGCAUCCUAUAAUUAUGAAAGCUAUAAGCGCUGUGAGAGAGCUUUGCGUCCCAUUAGCUAGUUGGAGAGGUAACUGCUCACCAAGGCGAUGAUGGGUAGCCGGCCUGAGAGGGUGAUCGGCCACAAGGGGACUGAGACACGGCCCUUACUCCUACGGGAGGCAGCAGUGGGGAAUAUUGGACAAUGGACCAAGAGUCUGAUCCAGCAAUUCUGUGUGCACGAUGAAGUUUUUCGGAAUGUAAAGUGCUUUCAGUUGGGAAGAAAGAAAUGACGGUACCAACAGAAGAAGUGACGGCUAAAUACGUGCCAGCAGCCGCGGUAAUACGUAUGUCACGAGCGUUAUCCGGAUUUAUUGGGCGUAAAGCGCGUCUAGGUGGUUAUGUAAGUCUGAUGUGAAAAUGCAGGGCUCAACUCUGUAUUGCGUUGGAAACUGUAUAACUAGAGUACUGGAGAGGUAAGCGGAACUACAAGUGUAGAGGUGAAAUUCGUAGAUAUUUGUAGGAAUGCCGAUGGGGAAGCCAGCUUACUGGACAGAUACUGACGCUGAAAGCGCGAAAGCGUGGGUAGGAAACACG
rnacentral:rRNA from 1 species